CAAUAGCGUAUAUUAAAGUUGUUGCAGUUAAAAAGCUCGUAGUUGGAUUUCUGGUCGGAAGCUCCUGUCCUCUGAUGAGCGUACAAGUGCGUCCUACCAUCCUUCUGUUAACCUUUAAGGCUUUCGCGGCUUUCUAGGGGCUCAGAUAUUUUACCUUGAGAAAAUUAGAGUGUUUCAGGCAGGCUAGCGCCGGAAUACAUUAGCAUGGAAUAAUGGAAUAGGACUUUUGCCUCUUCUGUUGGUCAUGAGGCCCGAGUAAUGAUUAAUAGGGAUAGUUGGGGGCAUUAGUACUUAACUGUCAGAGGUGAAAUUCUCGGAUUUGUUAAAGACUAACUUAUGCGAAAGCAUUUGCCAAGGAUGUUUUCAUUAA
rnacentral:rRNA from 1 species